CAAGCCUGAUGCAGCCAUGCCGCGUGUAUGAAGAAGGCCUUCGGGUUGUAAAGUACUUUCAGCAGUGAGGAAGGGGGUAUCGUUAAUAGCGGUAUCCUUUGACGUUAGCUGCAGAAGAAGCACCGGCUAACUCCGUGCCAGCAGCCGCGGUAAUACGGAGGGUGCGAGCGUUAAUCGGAAUUACUGGGCGUAAAGCGCAUGCAGGUGGUUUGUUAAGUCAGAUGUGAAAGCCCGGGGCUCAACCUCGGAAUUGCAUUUGAAACUGGCAGGCUAGAGUACUGUAGAGGGGGGUAGAAUUUCAGGUGUAGCGGUGAAAUGCGUAGAGAUCUGAAGGAAUACCGGUGGCGAAGGCGGCCCCCUGGACAGAUACUGACACUCAGAUGCGAAAGCGUGGGGAGCAAACAGGAUUAGAUACCCUGGUAGUCCACGCCGUAAACGAUGUCUACUUGGAGGUUGUGGCCUUGAGCCGUGGCUUUCGGAGCUAACGCGUUAAGUAGACCGCCUGGGGAGUACGGUCGCAAGAUUAAAACUCAAAUGAAUUGACGGGGGCCCGCACAAGCGGUGGAGCAUGUGGUUUAAUUCGAUGCAACGCGAAGAACCUUACCUACUCUUGACAUCCAGAGAACUUAGCAGAGAUGCUUUGGUGCCUUCGGGAACUCUGAGACAGGUGCUGCAUGGCUGUCGUCAGCUCGUGUUGUGAAAUGUUGGGUUAAGUCCCGCAACGAGCGCAACCCUUAUCCUUGUUUGCCAGCGAGUAAUGUCGGGAACUCCAGGGAGACUGCCGGUGAUAAACCGGAGGAAGGUGGGGACGACGUCAAGUCAUCAUGGCCCUUACGAGUAGGGCUACACACGUGCUACAAUGGCGCAUACAGAGGGCGGCCAACUUGCGAAAGUGAGCGAAUCCCAAAAAGUGCGUCGUAGUCCGGAUUGGAGUCUGCAACUCGACUCCAUGAAGUCGGAAUCGCUAGUAAUCGUGAAUCAGAAUGUCACGGUGAAUACGUUCCCGGGCCUUGUACACACCGCCCGUCACACCAUGGGAGUGGGCUGCAAAAGAAGCAG
rnacentral:rRNA from 1 species